CUGCUGGGGGGAGAUAAAGUGGAUGUGGGUAUCAAUGCCAGCGGCGGUCAGAAUAAGGUGCUCGCCGGAGAUAGCAUCGGUACUGACGCCGACGACCAUGCCAGGAGUGACGCCAUCCAUCAUGCCCGGAUUACCGCUUUUACCAAUACCGGCGAUGCGUCCGUUUUUAAUCCCAACGUCGGCUUUGAUAACGCCCAGGCGCGCGUCGAGAAUAGUGACGUUGGUGAUAACUAAAUCAAGGACCUCCGUGCUGCGCAUACGGUUAUCUGCGCCCAUACCGUCGCGC
rnacentral:sRNA from 1 species